GCCCGUCUAGCUUAGUCGAUAUAGCACAAGGCUCUUAACCUUGUGGUCCUGGGUUCAAGCCCCAUGGUAGGCG
rfam:Ipomoea nil DNA, scaffold: scaffold3056, cultivar: Tokyo-kokei standard.